AUCAUAGAGUUCUACAGCUCUUGCAACUGACCUUUUACAUAUGCAUUGAUGCUAACAUCCCACAAAAGGUUCCCCAUCUCUGAGGUGUAUAAGACAGAACUGGCAAUAUCUAUUUUCUUUCUGUGACUCCUGGUCCCCCUUUCCUAGUUGCAUUACAAGUCUCAUUGGCUUCUACAGCCAUUCAUUACUGCUUUUUUCCCAGUUGGGACACAAUAUUGAAAUCACUGGCUGGGGGUGGGGGCAGUGACGGUCUGCUUUCACAGCCCCACCCGGCCAUGGAGAAUAAGGAACAAGAUCAGGUUUCGAGCAUUUUGAAGGGAAAUUACACCCUGUCUGAAGCCAGGUUUCUCUGCAAAUCUUGGCACACACUUCAACAUCUGAUGAAUGAGAAGAGAUAGACUUGUGUUGUUUUAAAUAGCAAGCAUGCAGCAUAAGAAUGAUUCCAAGGCAAACCUGAGACGUCCAGGGCGAUAUGGCAGCAUGUUCUCCACGAGGGACUCACACCUCCAAAGGUCUCCUGUUGCUUCAUCUGACCACCUGUAGGCUGCUGGAUAAUUGGAGUUGACUUCUGGAAAUCUAAGGGCUUGUUUACUGGAAGGAGGAAAUCAAGGGUGAGGAUGCACAAGUGGUAAAGAGAAGCCUAUAAAGAUGGUAUCUUGCCAGAGUUAGCAAGGAAGGAUGGGCAGAUCAAUCUCUUUUUGGACAGUGUCAGCUUCACAUAUGUUCAGUCAUAAAUCCAUUUCAUCCCUUUACUGCUUUUUUAUCUAUUUACUUAAACUCCACAUGAACGGUCAUAUUUACAUAUGUAUCUAACAAGUAUUGAAAUAAAAUACAUCAAUAGUAUUUAUCUUAAUGUUCUCUUUUUGAAAAUAUAUAUUUGUAAUGCAUUUUGGGCACGUAUUUUGAGCUGACAACCGUAUUGCAAAAUCUGGAGAGGUGAAAACUCUGAAGAAUAAUUACAUUCCAAAUUGUUUAUUGUCCAGGAGUUGCAAAUUAGGUCAGUUUGUUUUGGAAUCCACAGAAAUUGAAUUCCUAAAGGCAGGGCCAGCUCAAGACAUUUUGGCACCUGACAUGAACCACAGAAUGGUGCUCCCCUCCCUGGCAGGAAAGAAGUGGGAAGUGAAGAUUGACACCAGAAAUAAAGGUUGCAAGCUUCUUUACCAGCCCUAGCUCCUGUACAUUUAACAACAACUCAGUUGGCUGACAACUACAUGACACUCUGAUUUUGGAAGAUCAGGUUGCUAAUAAAGGCAUGGAAACAG